UGGGAUUUAGAUACCCCACUAUCCUAAAAUAAUAAACUCCUUGGGGCAGUAAAACUUAUCAUAGUUUAAACCUAAACAAUAUGGCGGCUAUUUAAACUUUAUUAGGGGAACUUACCACAUAAUUGAUAACCACCAAGUGGUCAUACUUAAUUUAUUAAUAGUAUGUAUAUCGUCGUUGUCAAGACCGCUCCUAGAGAGGUUUUUAAUAUUUUAAAUAAAAAGACAGAUCAAGAUGCAGCUAAUAUUUAAGAGUUAAGGUGAGUUACAAUAAGGAUUUCUUUAAUUUACGGAUAUAAAUUUUAAUAGUUUAUUAACAAGGUGGACUUAAAAGUAAUAAUUAAUAAAAAUAUAGCAUGAAUUAUAUAUUAAAUAGUGUACACACCGCCCCGUCACCCU
rnacentral:rRNA from 1 species